CUUAUGCUAGGAUGCAUCCAACUCCUAACUCUAAUUUCAAAUUUAAAUUCUUUCUUAUCAGAAUAUCUAUAUUUUACUUAUUAUUAAUCUAAUUUAGGAAAAAUCUAGCUUAUUGAGUUUAACUCAAGUUAUAGGCUUUAAAUUAUUAAAUUCAAUAAACAAGUAUAAAAAAAAUGAGAGCCAAAUCAAAAGAAAUCAUUACCUACUUACUAUAGCCGCAGCCUUCAAAUUCCUUGUCUACAAAUUAGCUUAGAUUUUCUUUGUCAUAGCUUCUUUUCUUGCAUGCAAUGGCUUAUUAAAAAGCUAACAACAAGAUCUUAUUUUUUUUAAUAAAAUUCAAUACAAAAAAUAAAAAUAUACUAAUUGAAUAAAAAUUCCAAAUUAAUCUUAAAACUUGCAACUUCAAAACUCUAGCGACCUUUCUUCCACAAAUUUUCUUAGAUUUGCCUUAUCUUAACUUUAUUUCUUAUGUGUUAAGGCUUAUUAAAAAGCUAACAACAAGAUCUAAUUUCUUUCUA
rnacentral:lncRNA from 1 species